rnacentral:rRNA from 1 species
GAAAUCCUACGGGAGGCAGCAGUGGGGAAUAUUGGGCAAUGGACGCAAGUCUGACCCAGCAACGCCGCGUGAAGGAAGAAGGCUUUCGGGUUGUAAACUUCUUUUAAGGGGGAAGAGCAGAAGACGGUACCCCUUGAAUAAGCCACGGCUAACUACGUGCCAGCAGCCGCGGUAAUACGUAGGUGGCAAGAGUUGUCCGGAUUUACUGGGUGUAAAGGGCGUGCAGCCGGAGAGACAAGUCCGAUGUGAAAUCCACGGGCUCAAACCGUGAACUGCAUUUGAAACUGUUUCCCUUGAGUGUCGGG